UCUACCUCUAAUGGAGUUCUCGUAUAACAACAGUUACCAAUCUACCAUAGGGAUGGCUCCCUAUGAGAUGCUUUAUGGGCGUAAAUGUAGAUCUCCUUUGCACUGGGAUGAAGUUGGGGAGAAACGGAUUUUAGGGCCUGAAGCAGUUAGUGAGGCCAGUGAGGCAAUUGAGAAGAUACGCCAAAGGAUGCUUACUGCGCAGAGUAGGCAAAAGAGCUACGCUGACCUCAAGAGGAGGGACAUUGAGUUUGCUGUAGGCGAGUUUGUUUUCUUGAAAAUCUCGCCGAUGAAAGGUGUGAUGUGUUUUGGAAAGAAAGGGAAGUUAAGCCCUAGAUAUAUCGGUCCAUUUGAGAUAUUGGACAGGAUAGGGCAAGUUGCGUACCGUUUGGCACUGCCCCCAGCAUUAGCUGAAACGCAUAGCGUCUUUCACAUCUCGAUGUUGCGUAAGUAUGUGUCAGACCCCUCUCAUGUGUUGAGUUACGAGCCGUUACAGCUGAAGCAGGACUUGAGUUAUGAUGAACAGCCUGAGCGCAUUUUAGAAAAGGGAAUCAAGGAACUGAGAUCCAAAAGGAUUCCACUAGUCAAGGUCCUGUGGAAGAAUAGUACGGAACGAGAAGCAACAUGGGAGUUGGAGGAUGACAUGAAAGCAAGAUACCCUGAGUUAUUUGGUAAGAAAGAAUUUCGGGACGAAAUUCCUUUUAAGGAGGGUAUAUUGUAGUGCACCAAAAAUUUUUUUUUGAUUAUUUAAAUUUUGUGCUUUAUUUGAUUUAAAUGUUAAGUGUGAUGAAUUGUUUUAUUUAAGUGUUGUUAUUUUAUUUAAUUGUUUAUUUGUUUUAUUUGAUUGUUUGUUAUUUUAUUUAAUUGUUAGAAAUGUUUUGGUUAAUUAAUUUAAUAAGUGAUUAAUUGUGUAACAUGUUAUCUUACUAUUAGUGUUACAUUUUAUUUAAGUGUGACAAAUGAGGUAUUUGUGUGAGCUAUGGUGGAAUGCACUAAGGUGCAUGAUAGAUAGUAAUGCACCCUAGUAAUUUAGUGUGUGCUAGUGCAUGGUAGCAUGGUGCACAUGUGUAGAUUUUCUACACAUUUUAGGUUUCCUUAUUUUAGAUUUAAUUGAGUAAUUUAUUUAUAAAAAAAAAAGAAGAAAAGAAAAGGGAAAUGAGGAGUGGGCGUGUGACCUAGUGGGAAUGGAAUAUUUCCUUAAAAUGGUAAAAAAAAUCAAGACUUGAAGACCAUGAUCAUUUGGGGAUAGGCAUGAUCAUAUCUUAUCCCUUUGUAUCUUUUUGAAAUAAAGAAAAAAAUCAAGGAAAAUAAAAGAGAAAUGGAAACUUACCUUAAUAUUGUUUGGGGAGACUUUAUGAGAGGAUUUGUGAUAAAGGGGCUAAGAAAGGAGAGAAGAGCCAUUGCUCUUGUGUGUGUGUGUGGCUGCCGUGACCUAGAGAGAGAGAGAGAGAGAGAGAGAGAGAGUGGCGUGUAGAGAUAGAGAGAGAGAGAGGAAGAAAGAAAGAAAGGAAGAAGGAAGAAGAAAGUGAAGAGGAACCCCCCUAGAGCUUGAACAAGGGUGUGGAGUUUGUGGUAUUGAUCUUUUGUGUUCUUGAUUCUACAAUCAAGAGAGGUAGCAAAUAGGAUUUCUCUAUGGCACGCGUGGUGACGUGAGGAGUUCUUCAUCAUGGGGUGUAUGGCGUGGGGCAAUCCUAUGGACGAUAAAACGAUCAACGUAGAACGCCAUUUAAAUUAUGUUUUGUUUUAAGGGACUUUUUUUCCUAAAUUAUCAGUGGGACUCUGUUAUUUAACUUAAUUGGUUUUUUUCUUGAACGUUGCAUAAAAACCUAUGUUUUAUUUUAAACUUAUGGCGCCAACUUGCAUGAUUUUAAAUAAGUCCCCCUGAGACUUUAAUAAUGGACGGUAUUCUUUUAUAAGCUAUGUUAUGCGAAA